rnacentral:rRNA from 1 species
AUUGAACGCUGGCGGCAGGCCUAACACAUGCAAGUCGAACGAGUGGCGGACGGGUGAGUAAUGUCUGGGAAUCUGCCCGAUGGAGGGGGAUAACUACUGGAAACGGUAGCUAAUACCGCAUACCAUCGGAUGUGCCCAUAUGGGAUUAGCUAGUAGGUGGGGUAACGGCUCACCUAGGCGACGAUCCCUAGCUGGUCUGAGAGGAUGACCAGCAACACUGGGACUGAGACACGGCCCAGACUCCUACGGGAGGCAGCAGUGGGGAAUAUUGCACAAUGGGCGCAAGCCUGAUGCAGCCAUGCCGAGUGUAUGAAGAAGGCCUUAGGGUUGUAAAGUACUUUCAGCGAGGAGGCGUUACCCGCAGAAGAAGCACCGGCUAACUCCGUGCCAGCAGCCGCGGUAAUAC